rnacentral:rRNA from 1 species
UAAGGAAUAUUGGUCAAUGGACGCAAGUCUGAACCAGCCAUGCCGCGUGAAGGAUGAAGGUCCUCUGGAUUGUAAACUUCUUUUAUCUGGGACGAAAACGGGAUUUUUAUCUCAAUUGACGGUACCAGAGGAAUAAGCACCGGCUAACUCCGUGCCAGCAGCCGCGGUAAUACGGAGGGUGCGAGCGUUAUCCGGAUUUACUGGGUUUAAAGGGUGCGCAGGCGGUUUUGUAAGACGGAUGUGAAAUCCCCGGGCUUAACCUGGGAACUGCAUUCGUGACUGCAAGGCUAGAGUAUGGCAGAGGGGGGUAGAAUUCCACGUGUAGCAGUGAAAUGCGUAGAGAUGUGGAGGAAUACCGAUGGCGAAGGCAGCCCCCUGGGCCAAUACUGACGCUCAUGCACGAAAGCGUGGGGAGCAAACA